CCUACGGGAGGCAGCAGUCGAGAAUCAUUCACAAUGGGGGAAACCCUGAUGCUGCGACGCCGCGUGGGGGAAUGAAGGUCUUCGGAUUGUAAACCCCUGUCAUGUGGGAGCAAAUUAAAAAGAUAGUACCACAAGAGGAAGAGACGGCUAACUCUGUGCCAGCAGCCGCGGUAAUACAGAGGUCUCAAGCGUUGUCCGGAAUCACUGGGCGUAAAGGGUGCGUAGGCUGUUUCGUAAGUCGUGUGUAAAAGGCGCGGGCUCAACCCGCGGACGGCACAUGAUACUGCGAGGCUAGAGUAAUGGAGGGGGAACCGGAAUUCUCGGUGUAGCAGUGAAAUGCGUAGAUAUCGAGAGGAACACUCGUGGCGAAGGCGGGUUCCUGGACAUUAACUGACGCUGAGGCACGAAGGCCAGGGGAGCGAAAGGGAUUAGAUACCCUUGUAGUC
rnacentral:rRNA from 1 species